rnacentral:rRNA from 1 species
CCUACGGGAGGCUGCAGUGGGGAAUAUUGGGCAAUGGAGGAAACUCUGACCCAGCAACGCCGCGUGAAUGAUGAAGGUCUUCGGAUUGUAAAGCUUUUUUCAUAGGGAAGUAGAAAGCGACGGUACCGUAGGAAUAAGUCUCGGCUAACUACGUGCCAGCAGCCGCUGCAAUACGGAGGAGGCAAGCGUUAUCCGGAAGGACUGGGCGUAAAGGGUGCGUAGGUGGUUUGAUAAGUUGGUAGCGUAACUCCGGGGGUCAACCUCGACACUACUGCCGAAACUGUCGGACUUGAGUGCAGGGGGGGCAACUGGAAUUCGUAGUGUAGCGGUGGAAUGCGUAGAUAUUAGGAAGAACACCAGUGGCGAAGGCGAGUUGCUGGACUAUAACUGACGCUGAGGCACGAAAGCGUGGGUAGCAAACAGGAUUAGAUACCCUGGUAGUC